rnacentral:rRNA from 1 species
GUAGUCUCGCACAGAUGCAUAUCAAUAAGCGGAGGAAAAGAAACUAACAAGGAUUCCCCUAGUAACGGCGAGUGAAGCGGGAAGAGCUCAAAUUUGAAAUCUUAAAGGGUUUCCCUUUACGAAUUGUAGUUUAAAGAAGUGUUUUCUGUCGAGGUUUUGGUAAAAGUUCUUUGGAAUAGGACAUCAUAGAGGGUGAGAAUCCCGUAUUUGACCUUUACUUUCAACUUUGUGAUACACUUUCAAAGAGUCGGAUUGUUUGGGAAUGCAGUCCAAAAUGGGUGGUAAAUUUCAUCUAAAGCUAAAUAUUGACGAGAGACCGAUAGCGAACAAGUACCGUGAGGGAAAGAUGAAAAGAACUUUGAAAAGAGAGUUAAACAGUACGUGAAAUUGUCAAAAGGGAAGCGUUUGACACCAGUGUUGUUUUUCUGAAAAUCAAUUAAAGAACUGUUUAUGCUAAGCUGUUUAGACUUUAUCAGCUAAUCUGUUUAGUUUUGAGCUUUUCUUUAAUGCACUUUUCAGUUAACAAGUCAACAUCAAUUUCUUUUGCUGUAAAAAAGCUUGAGGAAGGUGGCUUGAGAUUCGUCUUAAGUGUUUAUAGCCUCUUGCCUAUGCAGUCGGAGAGAUUGAGGUCUGCAGCGUAGAUCCUUCGGGGCUAAAUGCAUUUGUGCUAAGUUAUAGCAUUUUAUAGACAACUUGUUGACUAUGAUUUGUCUUGUAGCUUACUCGCUUAUGUUAUUUUACCUACGCUUAGGAUGUUGAAGACUCUACAGAGAU